GGGGGGACAGGGACACCUGGGGGACACCCCGGGGUGACAGGGGACACCGCGGGGACAGCGCUCACCGUGGUGGAGCGGUCGGGGACGGGGGCGCCCUGGGGACAACCUGGGGUGACAGGGGACACCGCGGGGACAGCGCUCACCGUGGUGGAGCGGUUGGGGACGGGGACACCCUGGGGACACCCCGGGGUGACAGGGGACACUGCGGGGACAGCGCUCACCGUGGUGGAGCAGUCGGGGACGGGGACACCCUGGGGACACCCCGGGGUGACAUGGGGACACUCCGGGGACAGCGCUCACCGUGGUGGAGCAGUCGGGGACAGGGACGCCCCGGGGACACCCCGGGGUGACAGGGGACACCGCGGGGACAGCGCUCACCGUGGUGGAGCGGUUGGGGCCCUGCCAGCAGCCCGUGCCGUGCUCGUACUUCAUGGCGCUGAAGCGGUCGUGCUCGGGGCCGGCCCAGGAGCCCCACGUCCUGCGGGGACGCGGGGACACCGUCACAGCGGGGACACGGGCGCCGUGACGCCGCAGGGACACGGGCACAGCGACACGGUGGGGACACAGGAACGUGGGGACAGCGCUGCAGCCAAGGACACGGGCAGCGUGACACCACGGGGACAGGGCCACCACGAGGCGGCAGGGACAUGGGGACGCAGGGACAGGACAGCGGCUGGGGACAGGGGGACACAGGGACAGCACAGUGGUGGGGACAUGGGGACACAGGGACACGGGG
rnacentral:lncRNA from 1 species